rnacentral:rRNA from 1 species
UAUUAUUUCGAUCGUAAAUUAUGGAGACUUGAGUAGUAUUAGUUAAGUUCUUGAAACUCAAAGAAUUUGGCGGUGUUUUAGUCUUUUCAGAGGAAUCUGUCCUGUAAUCGAUAAUACACGUUAGAAGUAACUUAAUUUUGUAAAAUCAGUUUGUAUACCUCCGUCAUAAGAAUAUCUUUUUAGAGUUUUAUAUUCUGGAUGUUAAAUUAAAGAGUAUGUCAGGUCAAGGUGCAGCUUAUGAUUAAGAAGAGAUGGAUUACAAUAAAAUUAUUUACUACGGAUGAAUGAUGAAAUUUUGACAUGAAGGUGGAUUUGGAAGUAAUAUUGUUAAAUAAUGAUGAUAUGAUAAAAGCGCUGAAGCAUGCACACAUCGCCCGUCACUCUCAUUAUUAAGGUGAG